GACGAACGCUGGCGGCGUGCUUAACACAUGCAAGUCGAACGGAAAGGCCCUGCUUUUGCGGGGUGCUCGAGUGGCGAACGGGUGAGUAACACGUGAGUAACCUGCCCUUGACUUUGGGAUAACUUCAGGAAACUGGGGCUAAUACCGGAUAUGAGCUCCUGCUGCAUGGUGGGGGUUGGAAAGUUUCGGCGGUUGGGGAUGGACUCGCGGCUUAUCAGCUUGUUGGUGGGGUAGUGGCUUACCAAGGCUUUGACGGGUAGCCGGCCUGAGAGGGUGACCGGCCACAUUGGGACUGAGAUACGGCCCAGACUCCUACGGGAGGCAGCAGUGGGGAAUAUUGCACAGUGGGCGGAAGCCUGAUGCAGCAACGCCGCGUGCGGGAUGACGGCCUUCGGGUUGUAAACCGCUUUCGCCUGUGACGAAGCGUGAGUGACGGUAAUGGGUAAAGAAGCACCGGCUAACUACGUG
rnacentral:rRNA from 1 species